rnacentral:rRNA from 1 species
AUUGAACGCUGGCGGCAGGCCUAACACAUGCAAGUCGAGCGAGCGGCGGACGGGUGAGUACUGUAUGGGGACUGCCCGAUAGAGGGGGAUAACUACUGGAAACGGUAGCUAAUACCGCAUACUAUCGGAUAACCCAUAUGGGAUUAGCUAGUAGGUGAGGUAAUGGCUCACCUAGGCGACGAUCCCUAGCUGGUCUGAGAGGAUGAUCAGCCACACUGGGAAGAAGAGACGGCCCAGAAUCCUACGGAGGCAGCAGUGGGGAAUAUUGCAGAAUGGGCGAAAGCCUGAACAAGCAAAGCAGCGUGUAGGAAGAAGGUACUAGGAUUGUAAAGUACUUUCGGUAGGGAGGCGGUACCGAAAGAGGAAGCAACGGCUAACUCCGUGCCAGUAGACGCGGUAAUUC